rnacentral:rRNA from 1 species
CCUACGGGGGGCAGCAGUAGGGAAUCUUCCACAAUGGACGAAAGUCUGAUGGAGCGACGCCGCGUGGGUGAAGAAGCGCCUCGGCGCGUAAAGCCCUGUCAGCAGGGAAGAAAAUGACGGUACCUGAAGAAGAAGCCCCGGCUAACUACGUGCCAGCAGCCGCGGUAAUACGUAGGGGGCAAGCGUUAUCCGGAUUUACUGGGUGUAAAGGGGGCGCAGACGGCGAUGCAAGUCAGGAGUGAAAGCCCGGGGCCCAACCCCAGGACUGCUCUGGGAACUGCGUGGCUGGAGUGCUGGAGGGGCAG